AUUAGCUAGUUGGUGAGGUAAUGGCUCACCAAGGCGACGAUCCCUAGCUGGUCUGAGAGGAUGAUCAGCCACACUGGAACUGAGACACGGUCCAGACUCCUACGGGAGGCAGCAGUGGGGAAUAUUGCACAAUGGGCGAAAGCCUGAUGCAGCCAUGCCGCGUGUAUGAAGAAGGCCUUCGGGUUGUAAAGUACUUUCAGUUGUGAGGAAGGGGGUAGUGUUAAUAGCGCUAUCUCUUGACGUUAGCAACAGAAGAAGCACCGGCUAACUCCGUGCCAGCAGCCGCGGUAAUACGGAGGGUGCGAGCGUUAAUCGGAAUUACUGGGCGUAAAGCGCAUGCAGGUGGUUCAUUAAGUCAGAUGUGAAAGCCCGGGGCUCAACCUCGGAACUGCAUUUGAAACUGGUGAACUAGAGUACUGUAGAGGGGGGUAGAAUUUCAGGUGUAGCGGUGAAAUGCGUAGAGAUCUGAAGGAAUACCAGUGGCGAAGGCGGCCCCCUGGACAGAUACUGACACUCAGAUGCGAAAGCGUGGGGAGCAAACAGGAUUAGAUACCC
rnacentral:rRNA from 1 species